UGAGUCGGCUGGGUGACCGCGGCGGGAGCGAUCCCGUCGAGGAAAGUCCGGACUCCACAGGGCAGGGUGGUUGCUAACGGCAACCCGGGGCGACCCGCGGGACAGUGCCACAGAGAGCAGACCGCCCGGCGGACACCGCCGGGUAAGGGUGAAACGGUGGUGUAAGAGACCACCAGCACCCCGGGUGACCGGGGUGGCUAGGUAAACCCCACCCGGAGCAAGGCCAAGAGGACGCCCGACCAGGCGUCUGCGCGGACGAUCGAGGGCGGCCCGCCCGAGUCCGCGGGUAGGCCGCACGAGCCCGUCGGCGACGGCGGGUCGAGAUGGAUGGUCACCGAAGGGACGGCCGCGAGGCCCCCGGAACAGAAUCCGGCUUACAGGCCGACUCAUCCG
rnacentral:RNase_P_RNA from 1 species